UACGGAGGGUGCGAGCGUUGUCCGGAAUCAUUGGGCGUAAAGGGCGCGUAGGUGGCGGCUUAAGCGUGCGGUGAAAGCUCGGGGCUCAACCCCGAGUCGGCCGUGCGAACUGAGUCGCUUGAGCACUGUAGAGGCAGGCGGAAUUCCUGGUGUAGCGGUGGAAUGCGCAGAUAUCAGGAGGAACACCGGUGGCGAAGGCGGGUCUCUGGGCAGUAACUGACGCUGGAGGAGCGAAAGCGUGGGGAGCGAACAGG
rnacentral:rRNA from 1 species